GGACGAACGCUGGCGGCGUGCCUAAUACAUGCAAGUAGAACGCUGAAGAGAGGAGCUUGCUCUUCUUGGAUGAGUUGCGAACGGGUGAGUAACGCGUAGGUAACCUGCCUUGUAGCGGGGGAUAACUAUUGGAAACGAUAGCUAAUACCGCAUAACAAUGGAUGACACAUGUCAUUUAUUUGAAAGGGGCAAUUGCUCCACUACAAGAUGGACCUGCGUUGUAUUAGCUAGUAGGUGAGGUAAUGGCUCACCUAGGCGACGAUACAUAGCCGACCUGAGAGGGUGAUCGGCCACACUGGGACUGAGACACGGCCCAGACUCCUACGGGAGGCAGCAGUAGGGAAUCUUCGGCAAUGGGGGCAACCCUGACCGAGCAACGCCGCGUGAGUGAAGAAGGUUUUCGGAUCGUAAAGCUCUGUUGUAAGUCAAGAACGGGUGUGAGAGUGGAAAGUUCACACUGUGACGGUAGCUUACCAGAAAGGGACGGCUAACUAC
rnacentral:rRNA from 1 species